rnacentral:rRNA from 1 species
AUUGAACGCUGGCGGCAUGCUUUACACAUGCAAGUCGAACGGCAGCGCGGUAUUCGCUCUGGCUUCGAGUGGCGAACGGGUGAGUAAUACAUCGGAACGUCCCCAGUUGCGGUGACUAGCUCGACGAAAGCGGGAAUAAUACCGCAUUCGACCUGAGGGCGAACGGGGGGGAUCUUCGGACCUUCCGCCCUUGCGCGGGCCGAUGGCGGAUUAGCUAGUUGGUGGGGUAAAGGCCUACCAAGGCGACGAUCUGUAGCUGGUCUGAGAGGAUGACCAGCCACACUGGAACUGAGACACGGUCCAGACUCCUACGGGAGGCAGCAGUGGGGAAUAUUGGACAAUGGGCGAAAGCCUGAUCCAGCCAUGCCGCGUGUGUGAAGAAGGCCUUCGGGUUGUAAAGCACUUUUGGUGGGAACGAAAAGCAGUGGGUUAAUACCACGGUGUUAUGACGGUACCCGCAGAAUAAGCACCGGCUAACUUCGUG